ensembl:lncRNA
UGCUGCCGCCCGCCUGCUGCCCGCGUCCGGCCGCCCCGGGCCCGGCCCCCUCGCGACAGGAAAUGGUUUUGUGCGCGUUUCCCAAUGUCUCAUUGUAAAAUUUUUCCAGAAACCUGAAGAGAACAUUUCCAGUCUGAUUUCCUAGUUCAGUAUUAUUUUGAUACCAAGCCCAGAACAAAGACACUGUUAUCAGCCAAUAGUCCUGAUGAAUGUGGAAACAAAAAACCCUCAAAAAUAUACUAGCAGGUUGCUGUCACCCCCCAAAAAAGGAUCUUGCACACAUCAAGUGAUAGAGAUGUAGCUCAAUGACAGAGUGUUUGUGUGGCAAGUGUGAUGCCUUGAGAUUGAUCAUCAUCACCAAAAUAAAAAAUAUGGAAACCAGCAUAAUGACCAAGUGGGAUUUAUCUCACGUAGACAGGUAUGGCUUAAUAUUUACAAAGAGAUCAAUCCAUAAAUGUGAAACAGCACACCAACAGAAUAAGUGACACAAAAAGAUUGUCUCAAUACAUGCAGAAAUAAAUGUUUUUUUAAAUUAAACAUUGUGUUCGUGAUCAGAGAAAACUCUCCCCACAUAUGUACAAAAGUAAUAUACCUCUAACAAGAAAGGCUACGUAUGACAUACAGCUAGCAUCAUAGUUGUGGUGGUUAAGCUUAAUUGUCCACUUCCCUGGAUGAAGAGACUCCUGGACUGGUGAUUGGAUGACAGGGGCAACACACCAUCCACAGAUUAAUCCACUGAUGUUCACAGCUACAUGUGCUGCUGGAAGUAGGGCCCAGUUAGCAGUGGGUCCCUGGGAGUGUACCUUUGGAGGGUACAUCUCUCACUGGUGCUCUUCCCCUGUGGUCUGCUUUCUGGUCAUCAUGAAGUGAGCAGUUUGGUUCUCCGACACCUUCUGCCAUGAUGACUCCAUCUUAGAAACAGUAGACCUUGGACGGAAACCUUUGAAACCAUGAGCCAGAUUAGAACUCUCUGCUUUUAAGUUGUGGAUGUUGGGUAUUUGUUUUGGAAAUCGGACACAGCCUUUUAUGAUAGUCAGUAGAAAACAGUCAAAGUUUUUCCUCUAAGAUCAAGAAUAAGACAGGUAGCCCCACUCUCACCACAUGAUUUCUACAAGUGGAAUCCUUGCCAACCAGAGCAGCAUGCUUUGGGAUAGUGCCUUUGAAUUGUCUCCCGCAGUUUCAUACUGGAGACUGUAUGUAGUUGUACUGAGCACACAAAGUGAUCAGGAGGAGACAGAAGGGACAGCAUGAGUUUGCCUUCUCCAAGAUAACCUCAAAGCAUUGCUUACACACUGUGGUUACAAGGGAAGGUUACAUGCUCAGGUAGGAUCUCCAAACAAAUCAAACACUGGCCCUCAGAAAAAGCUGUCUUAGCCACAACUAUUCUGGGGUGGAAAAGGGCUAUUCAAAGGCCAUACUCCUUGAGGAUGCAAACUAAAUUUUAAGCUAUUCUGGAAUUCUCCCUCUAAUUACCCAAUCAGUACUGAUACAGAUGCCAACAAGUAUGCAAACAUUAACAAAAUUUCAGUUUCCAUAUUUGGAGGAAAAAAACCUUAAUGACAUCAAGCAUUGACAGAGAGUAUUAAAGCUGUUCUAAAUGAACAAUAUUAGAAAAAUUAAAACUUCCAAAACUGUGCAUUGCCAGAUUACAGGUAAAAGUAAAAAAUGCAUGGAUGAUAUAUUCUGGUUUCUCUUCAGAUUCAUUACAGGACCUACAUUCUUUGAAAACACAUUCUAUUGGAACAAACUAAAGAAAUACUAUCUUGGAACAAUAAGUUAACAUUGUCACUCUGAGGUGACUACAUUAGUAGAAACUGCUCCCAUGGAUAUUGGAACUUAGAGAAGUCCUGAACUGGAAGCAGCUGUGAAUGAAGUUUGGCUGGUGCUCUUUCUCCUUCCUCUACCAGAGCCCCUACAUGCUGAGAUGAGAAAGCUCCCAGGUUGGUCCUGUGAACCUUGGCCAAAAAGGCCAGGACUUUCAUCUUACUGGUUUCAGCAUGGGCUCUGGGCCCCACAGGAACUCUUAUUGCACAGGAUCACUGUUGGCCACCUGCUGGUACUCCAGGCACUUUUGCUUCACAACGUCUUUGAUGAGGAGCUGUCUGGGCUCCCCGUAAAGAAUCCACUCCUGCCCAGCAUACAACUCUGUCAGAUCCAGUGCUCCCCAGACCAGAUCUCCUCUUCAAUGGCAUGCUUGCCUUCAUGAAGAUCACACCUGGGACAAGUAGCCAGAGGCCAGUCUUGCAGGCACACACAAAAACUGCACGUGGAUGUUCAUAGCAGAAUUUUGGGUAAAGACCAAAUCAUGGGAGAAAACCAAAUGUCCUUACCUUUGGGAAUGGAUAAAAGACCAUUAGUCAGAAGCUUAUGGUGCAUAUCUGUAAUCCCUGUUACACAGUAGGAUGGAUGACAACUUAAAGGCUCAACAGGGUAACUUAGGGAGUCCCUGUGACAAUAUAAAAAAUUAAAAAAUGGGGCCAGGUAUCAACUCGCUGGUAGAGUGUCACUGGAUUUGUUUCCCAGUACUACUGAGAAAAAAACAGAACAAGUCUACUUUCUAUAAGACAUACCAAGCCAUAAGCAAAAACAAUAAGAAAGUGGUACAGGCCACAAUCUGAGUUCAUCUCCAUGUCACUGUGCUGAAUGACAAAAAGUAAGUCAUAAAAACCAAUACAUAUUUCUUAAAUGUGUAAUAUUCUCUAACAGACAAAGUUAAGUAUUUGUAUGUUUUCCACAGCCUUCUCAUUUCAAUUUUAAUGCAUCUGAAACAUUAGCUUGUUUUGGGGGGUAUUUGCCUGUUUUCAUAAUUUUGAUUUACUUAUGCAUUAUACAACUUCUACUUCUGAUGAAGAUUGGCUGGAAGCACUGGGCCACCUGAGGACACUAAAUAUCAUACAUGUGCAUUGCCAGCCAUUCUGUGCUAAUGGACAGCAAAGAGUCUAUGCUGCUCUCUUCUCACAGUUCUUCGAAACUCAUGAUCUCUGUAUUUGCUGUUGAAGGAAAGAAAAGCAUGGAAGGUGAUACAGUGAAUAUUAAAAAUCUGACCUGGAAUGAACACUAUUAUGAGUCAUGCACAAAUGGCAAGGCCUAGUAAUGUUAUUUCUAACUACAAGAACACUUUUAUCUCUCCCUAAGCUCAGGAAGGAGAAAAAAAUCCAGAUACAGAGGAGUAGUUGUGGCCUGGCUUGCACUUUACAGAGUACGUUUCCAAUAGACAAACUGGUAGAAUUUUUUCUAAUACCCCUUUCAGUUCAAGGCUCAUUUUCCAAGGUCAAAUUCUGUGAAAUUUUCCAAACA